CAUCAUUUUAUUUAUAUUUAUACAACACAUUUGUGCAGAACUACUAUGGGAAGACACUGUGUUUGGCAAUAUGGAAAGGAGAAAGUGAUGAUAAAGAUGGAGAUUUCAUCUUAGAACUUAACUAAAAUGUUAGUAAUAAUCUGUUCUCUGGUUCAGCCUGUAAUAUAGAAGUGCCAAACCAUGGAACGGAUGAAAGACCAUGUGAUGUUAUGCCAGCCCAAGCACUGAAAAUUAAUUUAUCUGCAGAUAAUUACUUUGCCACCAAAGUCCAUUCAAAAAUCAGUCUGAGAUGAGGUAUGUGUUAUUUUUUUUAGUCAUAUUAUAUACAUAUCUGAUA
rnacentral:lncRNA from 1 species